rnacentral:rRNA from 1 species
UCCGUAGGUGAACCUGCGGAGGGAUCAUUACAGAGUUGCAAAACUCCCUAAAUCCCUUGUGGAAAACCCUUAUUUUAGUCGGUAUCUUCUGAGUAAAAAGACAAAUAAGUCAAAACUUUCAACAACGGAUCUCUUGGUUCUGGCAUCGAUGAAGAACGCAGCGAAAUGCGAUAAGUAAUGUGAAUUGCAGAAUUCAGUGAAUCAUCGAAUCUUUGAACGCACAUUGCGCCCGGUAGUAUUCUGCCGGGCAUGCCUGUUCGAGCGUCAUUUCAACCAUCAAGCCCCAGCGCUUGUGUUGGGGGCCUGCGGCUGCCGCAGCCCCCUAAAAGCAGUGGCGGGCUCGCUAUCACACCGAGUGCAGUAGUUCAUCUUCUCUCCGGUCUUGUGAGGCGGGUUCCGGCCGUGAAACACCCCACUACAUUCAAGAUUGACCUCGGAUCAGGUAGGAAUACCCGCUGAACUUAA